GUAGGUGAACCUGCGGAAGGAUCAUUAUU
rnacentral:rRNA from 2 species